AGUCUCAGGAAGACGGGGAGAACUCGGUGCAGCGGAGCGGCCGCCGGCCGCAGUACCUCACUGCAUCUUCACAACUCUACGCCCCGGGCUCUUUCCCGUCCCCACUCUGCAGCUUUUCUCAGGGCUGUUGGGCUUCCACGGCCCUGAAGGCUGCUUCCCAAAGAGCACACUCGUGAGCUCGGUGGAAGAACGCAGCUGACAAGACUCUGCACGGCUAACAGCCGUUGGCUGGCUCAGUCGGGCGAGGGCAGGUAGGGGCGAGGGUCCCCAGGGAACGGCAGAGCAGGCACCCGGUGGUAGUGCGCCAUGAGGAAGAUGCCGGCGGUGCCGCAGACGAAGAGCGAGAGCAUGGCCAGGAAGCAGACGCGGUCCAGCACGCGGCCCACCAGGAGCCACUCCUCGUUCCCCUGAGGGCGGGGGCAGGGUGUGGGACAGCCAGCAGGGACACAGAGCCCGCCCCGAGUCCCAGAACCCCCCUCAGCCUUCCAGCCAGCCUCUGUUCUCCACUUCCUCAGGCCUUUCUCACCUACUUCCAGCCCUCGACCUGGCUUCUUCCAGGGUCUCCUGGCCCCGAUGUCCCCCGUGUUCCCCAAUCCCAAGUCAACUUUUUCCCCUCCCGUGGCCCUUCCAGAGUCACCCCUUCCAUCCUGCCCCCACACGCCAGGGCCCAGCCCCUCACUGGGUGCUCACGGCUGCCCCGCCCCACCCCCGGGAGGGCUUACACUGGCAAAGUGCCUCUGCUGGCGUCGGGCCCGGGCGACGAAGUUGCAGGCGUCCACACAGGCCCGGAUGGCCGGGGCGGCUUGCUUCAGGCUGCCGCACAGGUCCUGGCCCUGCCCUGGCUCCUGGCCUUUCUCUGAGGAGAUGAGAGGGUCAGGACGGUGAGGAGAAUGGAGGAGCAACGGG